AAAUUAACAGUAGGAGAAACAGUAAAAUCGAUACAUGUAUAUAUAUAUAUAUGUUUAUACGAAAUAAUGCGACCAAGCGGUAGGCAUAAGUAACGAUUAAAAUAGACCCGAAAAAAAAAUAAUAACUAAUAAUAUAUACAUACUUACAUACAAAAAAAAAAUGAAUGUGUUAUGUCAAAAAACAAAAAGACAAAUAG